CUUAUUACAACCAUUUACGCGUUUCACCUUUAGGGUUUUCUCAAAAUGGUAAAAAUGUUGAGAAAACCCUAAAGGUGAAACGCGUAAAUGGUUGUAAUAAGUGUAUUUUAGU
rnacentral:miRNA from 1 species